rnacentral:rRNA from 1 species
UACGUAGGUGUCGAGCGUUGUCCGGAUUUAUUGGGCGUAAAGCGCCCGCAGGCGGCUUGGCAAGUUCGAGGUGAAAUCUCCCGGCUCAACUGGGAGGGUGCCCCGGAAACUGCCAGGCUUGAGGCAGGGAGAGGGAUGUGGAAUUCCCGGUGUAGUGGUGAAAUGCGUAGAUAUCGGGAGGAACACCAGUGGCGAAGGCGGCAUCCUGGCCCUGUCCUGACGCUCAGGGGCGAAAGCGUGGGGAGCAAACCGG